UACGUAGGGUGCGAGCGUUGUCCGGAAUUAUUGGGCGUAAAGGGCUCGUAGGCGGUCUGUCGCGUCGGGAGUGAAAACUCAGGGCUUAACCCUGAGCCUGCUUCCGAUACGGGCAGACUAGAGGUAUGCAGGGGAGAACGGAAUUCCUGGUGUAGCGGUGAAAAUGCGCAGAUAUCAGGAGGAACACCGGUGGCGAAGGCGGUCUCUGGGCAUUACCUGACGCUGAGGAGCGAAAGUGUGGGGAGCGAACAGG
rnacentral:rRNA from 1 species